UACGUAGGUGGCAAGCGUUGUCCGGAUUCACUGGGUGUAAAGGGCGUGCAGCCGGAGAGACAAGUCAGAUGCGAAAUCCACGGGCUCAACCCGUGAACUGCAUUUGAAACUGUUUCCCUUGAGUGUCGGAGAGGUAAUCGGAAUUCCUUGUGUAGCGGUGAAAUGCGUAGAUAUAAGGAAGAACACCAGUGGCGAAGGCGGAUUACUGGACGAUAACUGACGGUGAGGCGCGAAAGCGUGGGGAGCAAACAGG
rnacentral:rRNA from 1 species